rnacentral:misc_RNA from 1 species
GACAGAUUUCUCAUCCGACCACUCACACGCCCUUAUACUCACACACUGGGUUGGGUCCAAUCCGCCAAUAAACUGAGCUCAUGCCCUUUGCUUGUACCAUCCACACCUGAUCCUGUGCCCUUCUUCUUGCCACAUUAGCUGUCAUGCCACCUGUUACUGUGCCGCCACAUCACCUGAUGCAGCCACAUCAAUAAUUUUGGCAAAACCCUUUCCUGAUAAUUUCAAUUAUUUGAUUCCAUUUUUGACAUCUGUACACUAGAACUUCU